GGAGAACAGGCCGGAAGGCGCCCAACGGGCCGCAGGCUCCGCGGCCCCCACCUUAUAGCCAGCUUUUUCCAAGAGCCACAUGCGGUGGGUGGGGUAAUGGAAUUCCGAAUUCCGCAGGGCCGAGAGGGUCCAAAUCCCGUCUCAGAUGGGAGUGCUCGGCGGAGCGGGGCUGGGCGAGGAGCGCAGAGGAGUCAGAGGUGAGUGAUGCUGGCGUACACCGGGCGGUCAGCCACCGCGCCCCGGUCUCCGGACCCACUGGGAGCGCGGACCCCUAUUUGAGCAGAAAAAGAAAGGGCGGCGCAGUCUGGGGGGCUGGGGAGAAAUGGAGGGAGCAAAGGGCCAGUCAGUCACAUUUUCAUAUACGGGCCUCCGUCACCAAGUACACAGAUUCUCCCACUGGUACUAAAGAUGCCCCAUUCACCUUACAGUUAGAGGGCCCAUAUAGUAUCCACCAGAACCCUAGGGUACUAUUAGGACAAAUAGGAUAAUAACCGCAUUAUAGCAAAAGGACUCAGAUCCCAACCCCCCUGGGACACUGCGCCCUAGGCGGGCUCACGCCCUCCUCCCCCGCCCAUUUCGAAGACUUGGGUUUUCCUCUGGGAUCCAGUCUGGCGCCCCUUGGGACUUCCUCCCUUUGCCAGGCUGCCCCGGCUCAAGCUUCUCUGGCCUGAGCCAUCCCUCAGUCCUAGCCCCACCUGCCUCCUCUGGCUCCUCCUUCCCCUCCUCGAGUCGCUCCAAGCCAGAAGAGGACUCACUUCUGCUCCUGGCAGCCAGGGGACACACCUGGCUGCUGACCUCAGGACACCCUGGGCUGGUCCAAGGAGACGCACCUCCCGGGGACACAGAAUCCCACCCCCAGUAGCCCUGACCGUCCAGCUCCCGCGCCUCCCAGCCCUACCGCAUCCCGCGUCUGCAGGGCGGGGCCGGGCCGUUGGGUCGCCCCUCCUACUCUCCACUCCUUUUCUCCCUCGGAAACCACCGAGCACAAAGGCAGCAUUGAUUCUCCGCCACCCUCAGAGCGGUCUCCGGAAGGCUCCGCCACCACGCGCUCGCCUCACCCCUGCGCGGAGCCACCAAGAGCACCGUGUUCCGACCCUCUGCCCUGGGAUCCGAGCUAGCGACCCUCUCCGUCGCGCGCCCGGAGUGCUGGCCUCACCUGUGGGUCGCUUUUGGGUUCUGGCCUCAGGCCCUGAAACUUUCAGAGCCAGAGGGGAGCAGCUUUCUCUGCAGCUUGCUCCCCCAGCGCAGUCCUUAUGGGAGGAGCUGGCAGGGGCCUCCGCUGCCUACGUCCUACCUCUUUUCCUGGAUAAACACAGCUCUGUCUGCGCGGCCAUCAGCCCGGUCUUCUGACUUCCUCCAGCUGAAGCCAGGUUUCUAGCAACAAUCCAUUCCUGUGCCCAGGCCUCCUCUGCUGAAGCUGGGCUGCUUAGGGGUGGGGGAGGGCUACAGAGAAGAGGGAGACGGCCAUCAGUGGACAGUGGCCACUUCUUUGGUGCUCGGUUCCAACCCCAGCCCUCACAGGCUAGUCAAGUGAAGCAAUGGGAGUGGAGAUGGAACAAAGAAAUCUGCAAUUGGUUGUGAUCAAUUAGUUGUAAACACUACUGCACUUGGACCAACCUCUUCCUUUUCCUGACUGCUUAGGAAGGAUGGAAUGUAUUUCCUUCCUUCUGGGAGUGUUUGAAUGAAGAUUAGACUCUCCUUGACCAUGAAUGAAGAGCAACCAGUUUUUUAGUAUACAGUGAUUUAGACUCUGGGUCUAGAGUGUAGAUAUCAUGGGCACUGUGAAAGCACAGAAGGAGAAAAGGUUUUUAUGUGAGUAUAUGGGAGAGGAAAUAGUUUAUUGUCAUAAGCUUUUUGGCUAUGGCCUCCAUUACAUCUCUAGCUUUUGGAAGGCACUAAAUUGAGGCCAUUCAAAUCCAUGUCCACCUAUCCUUUGCCCGUCACGAGACUGAUGGCUUAGGAAGCAUGUGGUCUAGGUACUAGAGAGGGAGCCUGACCCACCUACCUCACCGCUGCUGCUGAAUUUGUGCACAACUCUCUGACCUGGUUCCAUGUCACAAAGGGUUUCAUUCUCUCUGAUUCCCUGAAUCCCCAGCUCUAGCCGCAGAUCCUGGAACCCUAGCAUAUGCCUGAAGCUGAAUAUUUUACUUGCCAGAGUAAGAGUUUUUACAUAGACUCUGUCAUCUUCUACUGGCCCUCCUCUUAAACUGAGGCAGCGGCUGCUAGCUACUCACCAAACCUAUUUUACUUUCUUUUUCUUUUUUUUUUUUUUUUUUUGAGACAGAGUCUUGCUCUGUCGCCCAGACUGGAGUGCAGUGGUAUGAUCUCGGCUCACUGCAACCUCCGCCUCUCAGGUUCAAGCGAUUCUCCCACCGUAGCCUCCUGAGUCGAUGGGAUUACAGGUGUGUGCCACCACACCCAGCUAAUUUUUGUAUUUUUUGGUAGAGAUGGAGGUUUCACUAUGUUGGCCAGGCUAGUCUCUAACUCCUGACCUCAAAUGAUCCACCCACCUCAGCCUCCCAAAGUGCUGGGAUUACAGGCAUAAGCCACCGUGCCUGGCCCCCCAUUUUACUUUCUUCUUUAACAUAUAGUUAGAAUGAAAACAUGUUGAAGGGAUGAUGGCAUUAGAAAAUUACCACUGGCCACUAUCACAGUAAUAAUUGCUUUAGGCAAGAAUGAUCGAUAAAAGCUAAAAUUAAUGGGCAAAAGUAUGAUGAGAAACAGGAUAUUUAUACAAUCGCAAAGUGCCUCCCAAUAAGAUACUUAUUAAAAAGGUAAAAAUGGUAAUUUUCAGUGGAGAAAUAUGGCAGACACCAUAGUAACCAACUGAUCAAAGGGAACAUUGGCAUUAAUGGGACAAAUCAGCAUCACGUUUCUCUUGUCAUGAAGCACUGAGAAGGCCACAGCAUUGCUUCUGAAAUAUUGCAACAAAAAUGAAUAACUUGAAUCUAAUGAUGAGGAAACAUUGGAGAAAUCCAAACCUUGGAACACGCUACAAAACAACUAACUCGUACUCUGAGAAACAUAUCAGUGGACUGGAUUCCAAACAGUGGCUCAUGCCUGUAAUUUUAACACUUUGGGAGGCCAAGUUUGGUGGGGCUUUGUGUCUGAAUUCUGGCCAAUGGAACCACGUGGAGGCCUGGCCCAGAACAUCUCCCUGUGGAUUCUCUCAUCUGGCAACUGGAUGCCUACACGAAGGGUGAUUUUGGAGUCAUGUGUUGGAGAUCACAAAGCUUUUGUCAGCCAGGUUCCUGAAUGACUGCUAGACACCAUGGGCUGAACUUUAUGAGCUCCAGCACCACCUCCAGCCUUCAGUGACUGUCUGGAGCAGGCAUCCGGAUGGAAGAGAAGGGGGACAACCAUGAACUUGGUGACCCACGGUCAGCCUGAUUUCCCUUGUGGACACAUUUAUGCCCAGUGUGCAUUCCUCCUGAGGUCUGUUCCAAGUCUGGAGGCAGCAGAGUAGAGUGGAGAGAACAGUGGACUUGGAAUCUCACCUCCCAGAUUAGAGUCCUGGAUCUGACUUUGAUUGCUGGUGCUGCCUCGGGCAAGUUACUUUAGCUGUGUGCAUCUCCAUUUCCCCAUGGAUAGAACAUGGGUUUUGGGUAGAAGUGUCUGAUAGCUGUACUGUGCUUUACGGUUCAUGAGCACGCACACAUAGGCCCAUAAUAUCAUAUCUCUGGUCACCCUGGCAGGUAGAUAUUAUUGCCCCAGGUUUCAGGUAAGAAGACUAAAGACCAGGGGUCAAUUGCUUGCUCAGAGUCCCACAGCCAGCAGCAGCCAGGCAGGACACCAAGUCAGAGUCUAGAUUCCGGAUCUUGCCCUCUUCCAAGUGUACCACAUUCUUCUCAAAGUGGCCUCUCAGGUCUUUUGUCCAGAAAAUUUUGAGACUUUGAUGAGAAGCCCAUAUCUGCACACUGGGGAUUAGGCCAGAUAACCCUGUGUGUCCUUCCAGGCCUGGUAUUGUGAGGCUGAAGCCUAGUGCCCCACACUCCCUUCCUCACCCCUUAGAGAAAGAUAGAGACUCCAGGGCCAGCCUGGUGGGUGCUGAACCUGCCCUGCUGAGCCAAGCCCAGGAGGCAGCCAAGGUCCUACCAGUGACCUUACCCUGGGGGCCCCUCCAGGUAGGAGCCUGGUUGGAAAAGACAGACCGACUUCUUCUGGGUUGGCUGGAAAAAGAUGACAUACUCAAAGCCUUGUCCUUCCACUUGGAUGCACCUGGUGAAGAUGCGACAGUCACCUUUGUCUGGGGAGAGAUAGGCAGUGUUGCAGCCGGAGAAGGGAGGGUAUGGUCAGGAUGCAGCACCAUUUGGUUGAGUCUUGCCUCUGGUACAAGAUUAAGGAGAGAAAACCAGAGGACACCAGGUCCACCCCCAGGGAGCCUUCCCUCUGGGAGCAGAGGCACAGUUGCUGUCCUCACAGAGCCUUUCUGUCUAGGGCAGAAACAUGCAGGAAGUGCCCUGGCUGAGAAUGGAGAUAGGAUCAGGGCCAGGGCAAGACUUUAAGAGACCAUAAGCAUUGAAAAUUGAAAAUGUAAUUACUCAUGUAACUCACAUAUAAUUCAAAAGAAUAAUAGUAAACAGUAAAAUAAGAGCAGAAAAGUCCAUCAAAGUUCUGAUUUUUUUUUUCCAAGACAGCUACCACUACUACAUCCUUUUUUGGAAGUAUCAAAUUCUUUGAAAAAAAAUUAUGUUGGUAUUCCUGCUUUGUUUGUGCCAUAAACCCAAGGGUAGUCUGUCCCCUGUACCACUCCUUCAUCACUAGGCAGGAAGACAACAUAUAUGAGUGAGAGAGACAGGGAGAUACACAUGCGUGCACACACGAGUGCACACACACACACAAGAAGGUGGAAGCUCUAUCAUUAGGAUCCAUUAGGAUCAUUAGGUGUUUCAGGAGUGCUGCUCCAGACCCCGCACAGCAGGGAUGAUGUGCAGGGCCUCAGUGGAAGGGGUGUGGGGUCCAAGGGCUUUCAUGGGGUUGGGGCGGAAGGCUUGGGAUGAGGCUUGAUAGUUAGGGAGGGGCAGUCAGUGAGAAGUCGGGGCAGGAGCUGGGCUGGCUGUCCUCCAGUGGGGACAUGCUUGGCUGGGAGCGAAGGUGGGCCCACCAGGGUGUGCUGCUUCAGAUGGGAGGAGGGGAGCUGGAGACCUGAGAGGACACCCGCCGCCUGUUGCCUGGGGCUGCAGCAUCAGGGGUGGAGUUGGACAGCAGGAAGAACUCGCUGAGAACUGGAAGGCGGUCUGUGAAGUUGCUUCUCAGUCUUAGAACACAGGGAAGGGCGGCUGGGGUGUGUGUACUCAUGGUCCUGUCCUUACCUGAGGAAACUGCCAGUCCAGAUGGGAGCUUGAGUCCCCGGAUGUGGUCUCUGUUGGACUUGAAGGAGGGCAGCUUGAUCCAGCCGCUAGACUUAGUCUUCUCCAGAAAUUCUUGGUACAGGCUCAGCAUGUCCGAACACCAGCUGGCAUUGGGAAGAGCAUAAUCCUUCAAGUCUGUCUUCUCUGGCAAGAAUCUUGAGAACUGGGCAGGAAAAAUCAGAAUGACUAGACAGCAUCCUGGAGGGGGGCUGCUGCCUGGGCUCGGGACCUCUAAACAGCUGUUCCUGGGUGCUGGGGCUUCUCAAUCCCUUCUGCCAGAGUAUCGAUCCAAGGGAAAGGGCCCAUAUUCCUUGCAGGGGGGCUGCGGACCCCUAUGGGUGACGGGGCAUAAGGAUGCUAAAGAGCAAGGGAAGGGCGGGCAGGGAGUGGGGCCAGAGAUGAUGGGCAUGCUGCUCGAUGUGGUGCCUUACCCUUGUUCUGCUUAAAACAUGUGAGCAGUUCUUUAAAGUUGACAACUGCUCAUAUUAGCCUCACUGUACAGAUGGGGAAACUGAGGGAAUACGGCCAAGGUUGCCAAGCAUGUGACUGUGAGAGCUGGUGGUCGCACUAGAUGCUGUCUCCUCUGCAGGGCAGGGUCACAGUUGUUGAGGACCAUUCUAGCAACCCCCACCUCAGGGGCUACUCCAGCUCUGCCCACUGCUGUGGGCCUGCCUGGGCAGGGUGGCUCCUUUGAAACACAUUUGGGCCCCCACAGAGGUGUGGUGCCAUGGCUGGGGCACAGACUAUGUGCCCAUCUGUGUGACGUAAGGAAGUCCUCUGUAGCGUCACCUGCUCAUACACCAGUCACAACUGUAGACAGCAUGUGAGCUGCUUGCCAAUGCCACAGAUGGGGUCCUCUGUCUGGGGAUACCCCAGCUUUGCUGCAGUAGUCUGAGUCCCACAGGAGGAAAGUCAUUUGUUGGUGGCCACACAAGACACAGAGCCAGAUGCAGGUCUCCUGGUAGUUUUAGUUUUGAAUGGGGGCAACUUGGUAUCCCAGAGCACUUUCUCUUUGCCAAAUCAAAUAGCUCCUCCGAACACUGCCCACCUGCCCUGGCCAUGGGCUGGGAAGAGGAGAUUUGGGGUGCUCCUUAAGCCCUAGGCUCCUGGGAAAACACUGCCCAUCUGGCUGAGCUGGGAACUCACCAUGGAGUCUGUGGAGGAUCCAAAUGCUGAGGCAGGGUUGAGUCUGGGCAGGAUACGGGGGGCCUCAAGAAGGCCUCUGUGGUGGCCAAGUCUUGCUGCCACCUGGAAGCAUCUCCUUAUCAUGGCCAAGUGCAAGGAUCCAGCCCUGCUUGGAUGGAGGGUCUUGGCUGACUCCCAAGGAGUGCUUUCAGCUGCACUUGGGGCCGCUUCUCUCCCUUCUGUUGCAGGCUUUCUUUCAGAGAGCUAGGCGAGGCUGGGCUGGUGUGCUGCAACACCCACAGAUGCUCGGCGCCUUUAGCUGGUCUAGGAGCCCCACCCAGUGCUUGGGGAGGGACAGAUGCUGCUUGGGCAUGAAAAGGCAGCAGGACUGGCUUGAGUUGCAAAAGGAGUAAACAAGUACAUAAACAAAUAGUAUGGGGUAUAUAGAGCCUUGGAGAGCUGCCUGGGGGUUCUGAGGGAGAAUCCAAGAAUAUUUCCAGAAGGAUAAGGGAAGCCUGUCCCUUGAUUGGAGGGUGCUGGUGGAGUGUUCUUGGUAUGUGCUCUGCAGUGUAUACCGGACUCUGAAAACUCUGGUAUGAUUUUGUGACUCAGAAAACCAACUCACAGGCCGGGUGCGGUGGCUCACGCCUGUAAUCCCAGCACUUUGGGAGGCCGAGGCGGCGGAUUACGAGGUUAGGAGAUCGAGACCAUCCUGGCUAACACGGUGAAACCCCGUCUCUACUAAAAAAAAUACAAAAAAUUAGCCGGGCGUGGUGGCGGGUGCCGGUAGUCCCAGCUACGCAGGGGGCUGAGGCAGGAGAAUGGCGUGAACCUGGGAGGUGGAGCUUGCAGUGAGCUGAGAUCUAGCCACCGCACUCCAGCCUGGGCGACUGAGCGAGACUCCGUCUCAAAAAAAUAAAAAUAAAAAAAUAAAAAAAAAGAAAACCAACUCACAGCCUUAGACACCUCUUUUUUUUUUUUUUUUUUUUUUUUGGUGAGACGGAGUUUCAAUCUUGUCGCCCAGGCUGGUGUGCAAUGGCGUGAUCUCGGCUCACUGCAACCUCCGCCUCCUGGGUUCAAGUGAUUCUCCUGCCUCAGCCUCCUGAGUAGCUGGGAUUACAGACACACACCACCACACCCAGCUAAAUUUUGUAUAUUUUUUUUAGUAGAGAUGGGGUUUUGCCAUGUUAGCCAGGCUGGUCUUGAACUCCUGACCUCAGGUGACCUCCCAAAGUGCUGGGAUUACAGGCGUGAGCCACCGCACCCGGCCAACACCUCUUCUUAUAUCCCGGACAAGGGUUAGCACAGGAGAGUUUCACCUGCUGGUCUCUGGCUGGGGAUAGGAGUUGGAGGUGGGGGAGGGCUUGACAGGGAGGGCAGAAAAUAAUUUGGGAGGAAACAGCUUGGCAGGGAUACUCUCAUGUUUUGGGAACCCCGUGCCCAGGGAGUGGCUCAUGUCAGCAGGCAGUGCUGGGAGUGAGGUGGGCGCGGCAGUGAGGCUUUGUUGAGUGGGAAGGGACACUCAGCCAACAUCUGCAAGGCAGUGGGAUUUGGUGGUGGUGUGUCUUCUAUUGAAUUUAAACUGCCAAUUUUCAAUUAAAAGUCUCAGUUUUAAAUUGACUAAAAUAAAAGCAUGUUCUAAAGAUCAGUCCUCGCGCAGUGGCUCAAGGCUGUAAUCUCAGCAUUUUGGGAGGCCGAGUGAGACCUUGUCUUAAAAAAAAAAAAAUCAGAACUGUGCAAAGGUGGAAUCAUAACAGUGAUGAUGACGAUAAUAAUAGUUGUGAUGAUUAUGACAUUUUGGCAGGUUCCAAAAGAUGAAACUGAUUUAAUGCGGAAAUUUAAAAGAUUUGGUUCACCCUCUGUAUUUGGUUGCCCUAGAAGAAGACUAGAAUAUAAAUAUUUCCCCUCACCUCCUGCAAAGGUUUGAAUUAAACUUCCUCAAGGACUGGGGGAACCAUUUUUUUUUGUUGUUGUUAUUUUGUCAGAGUCUCACUCUUAUUGCCCAGGAGUGCAGUGGCACCAUCUCGGCUCACUGCAACCUCUGCCUCCCAGGCUCAAGCAAUUCUCCUGCCUCAGCCUCCCAAGUAGCUGGGAUUACAGGCGCUUGCUACUACGCCCGGCUAGUUUUUAUAUUUUUAGUAGAGACGGGGUUUCAUCAUGUUGGCCAGGCUGGUCUCAAACUCCUGGCCUUGGCUGAUCUGCCUGCCUCAGCGUCCCAAAGUGCUGGGAUUACAGGCAUGAGGCACCACGCCCAGCUGGAAGUUUUUUUGGUUGAUUCAGCCUCUGGGUCUAAGCAAAGAUAUUUGAGUUGGUUGCCAUCCCCAGAUAAGUGAGAAUAUCUGGCAGCACUCAUUUUCAGCCCUGGGCCGCAGCCGUUGCUGUGAGGCAGAAAUUAAAAAAAGAUAGUAAGUACUACAUUCAUUCACUCCAAGAAAAGUAACAGACAAGGCUAUAAGAAGGUCAUAGUGACCUAGUCUGAGAAGUAAAAGCCAAGGCCCAGAAUGUGGCAAGGCAAAGGUUAAAAAGAAAGGAAGAGCAAGUUUUUCUCUGCCUAGCAAGCUCACUUCAAAGACAAUUAUAAGAUAAUGCUCUUCGAGAAGUCGAAACCAAAGGAAUAGGCUCCAGACAUCCCCCGUCUGGAGCAAGGGUGAAGGAAAAAAAAAAAAGGACAAAUGUCUGUCUGUAUUUAGCCAGUUCUUGUUUUUUCUUUCCACGCAGCUACAAGGCCACCAGCUAUGCAAAGCCACAAGUUAUGCCAAGUCAUCAGUUAUGCUAUAGAUUAUGUGACCUGUCAUUAUAUGAUUAACUGCCUGUUUUGCUUCUGUAAGCCUGCUUAUAAAAAUCCUGCUCAGUCUUUGUUCAAUGCUCAGCUUUUUGGAUGUGAAUCCACUGAGCCAAUGCCUACCUUAAAAUAAACAUCGUCCUGUUUUUCCAUAUCUGUC
rnacentral:lncRNA from 10 species